UACGAAGGGGGCGAGCGUUGUUCGGAUUUACUGGGCGUAAAGGGCGCGUAGGCGGCCUUGUCAGCCAGGCGUGAAAGCCCCGGGCUCAACCUGGGAACGGCGCUUGGGACGGCGAGGCUGGAGUUCGGGAGAGGAGAGUGGAAUUCCCAGUGUAGAGGUGAAAUUCGUAGAUAUUGGGAAGAACACCGGUGGCGAAGGCGGCUCUCUGGACCGACACUGACGCUGAGGCGCGAAAGCGUGGGGAGCAAACAGG
rnacentral:rRNA from 1 species